rnacentral:rRNA from 1 species
UCCAGACUCCUACGGGAGGCAGCAGUGAGGAAUAUUGGCCAAUGGGCGCGAGCAUGAACCAGCCAAGUCGCGUGAGGGAUGACGGUCCUACGGAUUGUAAACCUCUUUUGCCGGGGAGCAAGCGUGCGUUCGUGAACGCGCGUCGAGAGUACCCGGAGAAAAAGCAUCGGCUAACUCCGUGCCAGCAGCCGCGGUAAUACGGAGGAUGCGAGCGUUAUCCGGAUUUAUUGGGUUUAAAGGGUGCGUAGGCGGAAUGCCAAGUCAGGGGUAAAAUCGGUGGGCUCAACCUCGCUCCGCCGUUGAAACUGGCGUUCUUGAGUGGGCGAGAAGUAUGCGGAAUGCGUGGUGUAGCGGUGAAAUGCAUAG